GCCGCCUUAGCUCAAUGGUAGAGCACCGGAUUUGUAAUCCGUAGGUUGGGGGUUCGAAUCCCCUGGGCGGCUCCA
rnacentral:tRNA from 1 species